UUUUCCCUUCACCCUUCUGCCUGCUGCUGCUGCUACCGUCCAGUGAUCUUCAAUAAACAUAGCUACUUACUACAUACUAUGUAAGGUGUACACUGGGCGAUUCUUUCCUUGUCAUACCUGAGAACCUGGACUCUUUUGGGCCCACUCAACUGUAACAUUUGGUGAGCUGAGCCACGAGGACUUUACCAAACCUCGGAAGACCUCACUGGACAACAUGCCAAGGGACUUUAUCGCAUAGCAGCCUAGGGACCUCACCAGACAGUGAAGGCGUCAGCAAUCCAGAGCCCUCCGGAGACCUCAGCAGAAGUGGGGAACCAGACAACCCAGCCAGCAAGGAAGAUGAGAACCCAGUUUCUUUUCAGCUUCAGGUUGAAGAGGCCUUCCCUAUCAAACUCCUGGUGGAAUCGAAAAGACUGGAGAGAGCCACAGACUGAAAAAGAAGGACUAUAUUUCAGGUUUAAGGUGAGCACUGGCUUAACGGACUCCUUGUCCAAAGAGAAAUUCUAGCUUUUAUAGAUUUUGUGAAAGAGGGUGGUUUUUCUAGUGAUGUAGCGAGUUUACCAGAACUGGACAAGGGUGGACAGUUUUGUAACUUUGCCUUGAAAGAAGACAGUGUCUUAUGAAUCAUAUGGGAACAAAGUGUUGUAAACUUUUAUCCCCCCCAUACUGGGAAUAAAACUAUGUCCUCGGCCCUUGUAAACUUUGUUUACAGGACAUAGUUGUCAAUUUCAUCUGUACCAGAACAAG
rnacentral:lncRNA from 1 species